AAAAAAACAUUAGAAUUAUACAGAGAUGAUUAGCAUGACCCUUACACAAUGAUGACACGAGAAACGACCCAAAAAAUUGUCAUAGUUUU